GCCCACAUAGCUCAGUAGGAAGAGCGCAUUCUUGGUAAGAAUGAGGUCUCCGGUUCAAUUCCGGAUGUGGGCU
rnacentral:tRNA from 3 species